GGAAGUAAAAAGUCGUAACAAGGUCUCCGUU
rnacentral:rRNA from 1 species